AUCUAGCUGACGAGUCCCAAAUAUGACGAAACGUGUGUCAAACUGGAU
rnacentral:hammerhead_ribozyme from 1 species